ACUCCUACGGGAGGCAGCAGUGGGGAAUAUUGGACAAUGGGCGCAAGCCUGAUCCAGCCAUACCGCGUGGGUGAAGAAGGCCUUCGGGUUGUAAAGCCCUUUUGUUGGGAAAGAAAUCCAGCUGGCUAAUACCCGGUUGGGAUGACGGUACCCAAAGAAUAAGCACCGGCUAACUUCGUGCCAGCAGCCGCGGUAAUACGAAGGGUGCAAGCGUUACUCGGAAUUACUGGGCGUAAAGCGUGCGUAGGUGGUCGUUUAAGUCCGUUGUGAAAGCCCUGGGCUCAACCUGGGAACUGCAGUGGAUACUGGACGACUAGAGUGUGGUAGAGGGUAGCGGAAUUCCUGGUGUAGCAGUGAAAUGCGUAGAGAUCAGGAGGAACAUCCAUGGCGAAGGCAGCUACCUGGACCAACACUGACACUGAGGCACGAAAGCGUGGGGAGCAAACAGGAUUAGAUACCCUGGUAGUCCACGCCCUAAACGAUGCGAACUGGAUGUUGGGUGCAAUUUGGCACGCAGUAUCGAAGCUAACGCGUUAAGUUCGCCGCCUGGGGAGUACGGUCGCAAGACUGAAACUCAAAGGAAUUGACGGGGGCCCCCACAAGCGGUGGAGCAUGUGG
rnacentral:rRNA from 1 species